GAUCAGCAUGUGCAAAGAUGAAGAGGCAUAAGGACUGACCAGUGGGUCACGGCAAUGAGACAUUUACUGCUGACCUCCAAGAGAAGACUUCCAUUGAAUGAGAGGAAGAUCUACACUACUAAUGAUCAAACUUACCUGGAGCAGUAUCUGACACAGAUAUGUGUUGAGUGAAUGGAUGAAUAAAUAGAUAGAAGGAAGAUCCUCCAACUAUGAAGUUUCUUCUUUUCUUCUGCUGCUGUUGAGUAGAUGAGGGUGCCAAGAAAUAAGACAGCAACACCAGGAAGAAGAACAAAUUUGGGGCACUGCUGCUGUACUGAGAAUACAGCUGUGAACAACAUCCCUGUCGCUUUCGUUCUAGAGAGGAAAAACAGGAUCUCUAAUGCCUGUCAUCUGCGCCAUGGGCUUUAGUUCAAGUGAGUCUUCCUCCUACCUUCCGUGCUUUGGUGGAUGAUUUCAAGUUUAAGAGUGACGGAAUGCCAUGAAUUUUCAUGCUGCCUACAUUUCAGUAAGACAACCUUGCUGGAUUUCCCCCUCCAUUUUGGAUUAUAAAAUCUAACCCCUGCGGAACAUCCUUUCACUUGGAGAGAAAAAUUUACUUGGAAAAAUUUCACUUGGAGAGAAAACCAAGAAAGCUUCUUGGUUUCCUGAACUAUUUUGAUUAUCUGUGUAGAUAUGGCUUAUAGUAUUGAAAUGAGGUGGCAGAAAGAGUAGUAGUGAUAAAAAUGGAGAAGAGAAAGGUCAAGUGAGUUUCAGUGAUUUUGCCAACUAAAUUCUAGGAUCCUUAAUGAAAAAAAUGUGACCACCUUUAUCACUUUCCAGGAUCAUCCUGUAUUUUCAAGUUUCAGUAGGUACCCUUUUACUGUGAUGGAAAGAAAUGCUUGACUUGGGUCUAUAUAUUUAAAUUUAUUUUUAUUUUUUAUUUUUAUUUAUUUAUUUAUUUUUGAGACAGAGUCUUGCUCUGUCGGGCAGGCUGGAGUGCAGUGGCACAAUCUCAGCUCAUCGCAACCUCUGCCUCCCGGGUUCAAGCAAUUCUCCUGCCUCAGCCUCCUGGAUAGCUGGGAUUAUGGAUAUGUACCACCACACCCAGCUAAUUUUUGUAUUUUUAAUAGAGGUGGGUUUUCAUCAUGUUGGCCAGGCUGGUCUCAGACUCCUGACCUCAAGUGACCUGCCCAUGCCCACCUUAGCCUCCCAAAGUGUUGAGAUUACAGGUGUGAGCCACCACACCCGGUGUUAUAUUUAAAUUUUUUAAAAAAUCUUCUCUGUACCUUUCCUUACAUUCAUCCUCAUUCCCUUACACACUUCUUUUCCUCUAAGGAAUUUUCUCCUCUUGUUCUCCAAGUUCUUUUCUGGCAGGCUUUAUGGCCGAGCAGACAUUGGAGUUUUAUCUACUCUUUCAUCUGCUCCUCUCUUCCGUCUGUUUUUCCAAAGCUUCCUUUCCUAUGGUAAUUACCAUGAAAAAAGGGGGCAAGGAGAGGGGGUUGAGGGGCCACAUGGUUCUUUUGCUUAGCUUUUGUUACAAGAUCACUAUGGGUAUAUUCAUGAAGUCAAAACUUCAUCUGGGGAGGUUCAAUGUAAUCUCCAACUCUUAAACCCUGAGUGCAGCAAGGGAGAACUAAACUAGUUUUGAAAACUGGACUAGAGCCUUCCCACAUUGUCUGUCUGUGCUAGGAAAACAAGAGAAGCCAACAGAUGUGUUUAUUUUAUUUGUUUGAUCAUUUUGAUCACUUUUGUUUCAAAAUAUUGUUAAGAAUGGUCAGAAGAGUUGACAUAGGUAAAAUAUGUUUUUAAAAUAAAUACUUGAACAUGAAAAAAAAAAAAAAAAAA
rnacentral:lncRNA from 1 species